rnacentral:rRNA from 1 species
GACGAACGCUGGCGGCGUGCUUAACACAUGCAAGUCGAACGGAAAGGCCCUGCUUUUGUGGGGUGCUCGAGUGGCGAACGGGUGAGUAACACGUGAGUAACCUGCCCUUGACUUUGGGAUAACUUCAGGAAACUGGGGCUAAUACCGGAUAGGAGCUCCUGCUGCAUGGUGGGGGUUGGAAAGUUUCGGCGGUUGGGGAUGGACUCGCGGCUUAUCAGCUUGUUGGUGGGGUAGUGGCUUACCAAGGCUUUGACGGGUAGCCGGCCUGAGAGGGUGACCGGCCACAUUGGGACUGAGAUACGGCCCAGACGCCUACGGGAGGCAGCAGUGGGGAAGAUUGCACAAGGGGCGGAAGCCUGAUGCAGCAACGCCGCGUGCGGGAUGACGGCCUUCGGGUUGUAAACCGCUUUCGCCUGUGACGAAGCGUGAGUGACGGUAAUGGGUAAAGAAGCACCGGCUAACUACGU